rnacentral:lncRNA from 1 species
AGAGGAGCUUGUGAGGGUUGACACGAAGUGUGGAUGUGGGGCGCUCAGCAGCCCCCACUUCGCGACAGACACGUCGCUCUUUGGAAAACAGCUCUCACACGCCCCCACUGCCUCGUAAGCAGGACUGCUUCCAUCUAUUCUGCGGGAAGGGACGCCAGGUGCCAGGGGCUGGCGUGCUUUGCCCAUCAGCUCAGAACCAGAGAUGCGCUCGGAGAAGACCUGACCGGUUUCACUGUUUCCAGGUUCUGUGAUGCUCCAGCCACUCAGGGCUUCUGGCAGAAGGGAGAAAUCUGCAUCUGGGGCCUGAGACGUCUCCAUGGUUCUGGACCCAUCAACACAGGAACUUGCAUCCUAGGGUUUAACAUCAAAGGAAGACACGGAUGCUGUAGCAGCCAAGCCCUCGGGAGUCGGGGGUGAAAUUUCUCCUUUCUAGGCCAACAGAGUCACCCAUUUCGGUUCGAAUGAAGCAAAGUAACUGAGACAUCCUGGAAGCCGGCCUGAUUGCGAACCAACUUCAUCCAUUCAUCCAUGCAGCAAAGGACGAUUCAAAGGCGGCCGCGUCUCACACAAUUGUCUGCAGCUGCUGUUCUACUCCUUCCCCCCAUCUUCUACUCUCUCUCUCUCUCAGGUCAUCUCACCAAGAACUGAGUCUCCAAACCUCAGAAAGGUAUUCGGUUCGGAUCUCUCUGCCCAGCUCCCCCGCACAAUCACCCACUGCCCCCUUUGCGUCUCUGCUUGAGUAGGGAAUAGAGGACAAUUCUGGCAAAGAGAACGCUCCAUUUUUCCUGUCCAGCCUUCUCAAUAUACCAUAACCUGAGGCUCACAGUGACUUCCGCCGUCCUUUCACACCCAUAUCCAACCCAUUCUGUGAGUUCCAGUUCCACGAUACUUCUCAAGCCAAGUCAUGGCUACUGCCCCAUCAUCUCAUCUCUGGAUCGUGGCAUGUUGCCUGCUCAACCUCCCUGCCUCUCCCCUUGCCUUUCUGCAGCCUCAGCUCCACCCGGAGCCAGCAGCACCAGCACACACCUCCUCCUGCGGCAUCAUGUUACUCCGUGGUUUCGUACCCACCAGUGUUCCACCCCGUAUCACAAUCUCCAAGCGCCUGCCUGGCCUGGCCCGGGGGUCACCCUCUGAUCCUGUCCUCCUGCCUCAGAUCCUUCGACCACGGCCGCCUCAGCACCGAGCUUUCCCUCAGACACCUGCCCAUCCUGCUAUUACAGCUGCCCUUGGGAAAAUCUCCAUCCUGCUACGCAGCUUCAUAAAACCCAUGAGCUCCGGACACGCCCUGUUUGCUUGCUCCGUAUCUGUUGUUUGUCUCUCCCACCGGACGGUCUGUCCUAAGAGGGCAGCCACUCUGCUCUCCUCGGGCUACCCCCCCACCCCCGGCUGCUAGUUCAGGACCCCACACGUGGAGGUGCACCGUGCAACUCGUGCAGAGAGCACAUGAUGCUGGGGAAAUUUGGACCCAGAGACACAGAAGGAGAACCAUGUGACGAGACACCCAGAGAAGACAGCUGGUGACAAGCCUGGAACAGCUCCUUCGGGGCUCAGAGGGAACCACCCUGAUGACACCUUGAUCUUGGACUUGCAGCCUCCAGACUUUGAGACAAGCAGUUCUGCUGUGGCACGUGUGUCACGGCAGCCAGAGCAAAGCAGUACAGGGGAUGCGCCCCGAGAAUCUGAAACCCCCCCGUAGCUGCCGGCAUGGGAAUUUCUUGCCUUUGGCUGCUUCCUAAGAAGUCAUGCCCCUGACGUAGAUUCAUUUCUCCGGCCUUCCCCCUCUGCGUGCUGUUGCAGGAGGCCGUUCCCAAGUCCUCCAGGGCCCUGCUCAUUUCUGUAAGUUCUCUGGGAGCUUAAGCGUCAGCCACCAAGAGAUCUCUCAUCGGUUUUCCUCUCCUGGUUUGGCCUCCCUGGGUGAAUCAGCUGUCACGCUCCAUUCAAGGACAUCCCGGCCCCUGGGCACUGCCCUGCCGCAGCCCCCGUGCCCUGGGUUCUGGUCAUACUUGGAGCUGAAGCCCAGUCUCUCCUCUGGGACGUAGAAGUGAAUCUGGGGGUCUGCUGGGCCUCAGGAGGCAGGCGGGAGGGAUGUCACCUGUCAAGAGGACCCCACGACCACUGAGGGGUCUGGACCUGCCUGGUGUGCAUCUUUCUCGUCCACUUGAAGAUGAAGUCCCCCCAGCCAGCGGGCCCCUUGGUUCUGAGCCGCCUGGUCCUUCAGACACAUGUGAUCUAGUGAUGACCCCUGUUUGGCCACCUGUCCCGCUUCCCGGCCACUGUGUGAUAGCCACGCCUGUUCUCCUCUCCCAGCCGCUGCUGCAGCCACCUGCCCUCUCACGUGGAGCAGCAUGAUGGCAUGAGAAUUCGGCCACGUGAGACAGGCAGUCCGGGGACGCGUCCUUCUUUUUCAGGUCCGAGCUUCCGGAUGCCCUCUGUAGUGAGAAGCAGGACCCAGAGCCCCUCCAGUCCUCACUGACUGACUCCUGUGCUUUGGAAACUUCCAGACUGAAAGGAAUUCUGAUGUUAAACAGGGGCUCCUUGUGUGGCCUGUUUGCAGAACCGCACAGGCUGGAGCAGCCGUGUUGACCUCUGACCCUUGGCCCGCUAAGCAAAACAAGGUGAGGGUUUCUCGGGCAGCGUGGUGGGGGGGAGGACCGGAGGAAAAAAAUCUGACCCUCUUUCCCCUGAAGGUGAUGAAUAGCCCCCGUUUCAAGCCAGGGCCCUCUGGCCCUUCUAGUCUGUGCUCUAGUUUUAAAAAGCGGGGGAUGGAUGAGCGCCUUUCAACUGUUUACCAGGAGAAGGACAAAGAUCGGGUUACCAGCCCUGGGUGAUUCAUCUUUUCUCCCAAAUCAAAGCCUGUGUCCGCGUGAGUUCAUCUUCCGUGUGCAGGCGGUCGGGGCAGGAGGCCGGGGCAGGAGGCCGAGGCAGGAGGCCGAGGCCAAAGGCCCGGGAGAAAGAGGGGGAGCCAGGAGCGCAGCCAGUGAGCGGCCGGGGCUUUUUUCUGCCUUCACUUUAGGACUUGAAUGGCUCUGUCGGGUUUUUUGGUGUCUCUUUUUUUCAGCAGAAGGGUCUCUGGUUUCCUUUCCAUCAGGACAACUGAGGAUGUUUCUCCAAGGUUCCUAAACUGGGAGGUUUUCUAAUCCCAGAGACGUUUCCACGGCAAAAAUUUGUGUUUGUGUUUAGAAACACUGCUGUUGGAACCGUGAGAACCCAAAUUCGUAUUUGAAGGGGAAGGGGCUGCGGGUCUGAGACAGACGGAUGCCCUGACCGCUGACGCUGUAAAUGUCUAGAACAUUCCGAGCACAGAGAACACGUUCAAGGACAGAAAAUAACCUUCUGAACACCUAGGUGUCCCUUAUAAACUUCCAACAUUCCGCCGUAUGUGCCAGCUUUCACUAAGAAAUAGAAUAUGCACCGAGACCUCGGAAGCCCCUCCGCUCCUCCCUGUCCUUAAAUCAGAGUUUCUCCUUCCCCGAUGUUACCAUGUCCCUGCUACAGACGAAUGUCUCUGUAAACAAUACACAACAAACCACUGAAUUUUACCGAAGGCGUCAUUCAGGAGUGAGCUUUGCUUUCGGGCGAUGUGAUGUUUUCGGGUUUGGUAAUAUACUCACCGAGGCAGCACCGGUCCUUUCGAAGGAGCGCAUCCCGUGUAUGGUGCACUUUCAGCAUGAUGACCAUGGGGACAUCGGUGCCUUCGGUCCGGAGCUGUGGAGGAUCGGAGGCUUCACCCCACUCACCAGCUAACGAGUUAGGCUGCCUCUGUCUCAUGAAUGCUGGUAGGAGAAACGAGAUUCCUGGGUCAGAGAUGAGAGCCUUCAUUAUUCAUAGCGUCAAAGCAGCGGCCAGAGUGCCAGCAUGUGUGGGCUGGCUCCCUGAACCCUAAAGCCCGCAGGGUGGCGUGGGGGUCCAGAUGACAGCUGCACAUGUGGUGGGUUGGGUUGCAGAAAAGGACCUCUGAGUUUGGGGAUCCUGCAGAUUUGGGGCAAGCAGUAAGCAAACUGCCUCUUUGCCCUGGAGUGAAAAGCUCCCUCAUCCUUUGAAGGAAGGGCCUCCCUGCCAAUACAGCCCUGAGGAUGGCUGGUAAGAAGUGUCAAGGCUUUGCAGUCUUGGCACAGCCAGUAAGUCUUAUAGGAAAACCAGAAACCCAAGGCAGACCAUGUCUCCCAAAGCUUCCAGGUACCAGUUCUUACAGGGAUCCCCCGGGUGUGCCAUUUGUCUCCUUCCCCGGCAUGUGUGAGAAGAUUUGUUUCUUUCCAAAUGGUUUUUCACAGUGAUUGUCAGAAUUUACCAUCUCCCCCCACAGCAUACGGGGUUUUUCUUGCUUCUUCGUCUCCUGUCCAACCCUUGUGUUGGCAGACACUUUCAUUUGUGCUGACAGCUAUAGAAGGAUAAUGCAGGUGAUGUGAAUGUGUUCCCUGGAUGACUGAUGAGUUUGAGCAUCUUUUCAUUUACAGCGUUGACCUUGUACUUUCCUUCUCUGGCCUUUGCCUUUUCAUGCCUUUUGCCUGUUUUUAUGGAUUUCCCUUUUCCCAAUUGAUUUGUAAGUGUUCUUUGUACAAAUGGUAUAUAAUUCUUUGCCAUUUAUAUGUAUUAAUAAUAGCUAUUCUCACUCUGCAGCUUGUUUUCUCACUUGGUACAUAGAUUUUUGUUUCAGAGAAAAAAUUUAAAGUUUGAAAUAUGAAAAAGAGACUAAGAAAAAAAUUCCUUUUGCCAUAGCAUCAAAAAGAAUAAAAUACUUAAUAG